CGCUCGUAGUCGGAUUUCGGGGCGGGCCGACCGGUCUGCCGAUGGGUAUGCACUGGCCGGCGCGUCCUUCCACCCGGAGACCGCGCCUACUCUUAACUGAGCGGGCGCGGGAGACGGGUCUUUUACUUUGAAAAAAUCAGAGUGUUUCAAGCAGGCAGUCGCUCUUGCAUGGAUUAGCAUGGGAUAAUGAAAUAGGACUCUGGUGCUAUUUUGUUGGUUUCGAACACCGGAGUAAUGAUUAACAGGGACAGUCAGGGGCACUCGUAUUCCGCCGAGAGAGGUGAAAUUCUCAGACCAGCGGAAGACGAACCACUGCGAAAGCAUUUGCCAGGGAUGUUUUCACUGAUCAAGAACGAAAGUUAGGGGAUCGAAGACGAUCAGAUACCGUCGUAGUCUUAACCAUAAACCAUGCCGACUAGGGAUUGGAGGAUGUUCCAUUUGUGACUCCUUCAGCACCUUUCGGGAAACUAAAGUCUUUGGGUUCCGGGGGGAGUAUGGUCGCAAGGCUGAAACUUAAAGGAAUUGACGGAAGGGCACCACCAGGAGUGGAGCCUGCGGCUUAAUUUGACUCAACACGGGGAAACUUACCAGGUCCAGACAUUGUGAGGAUUGACAGAUUGAGAGCUCUUUCUUGAUUCGAUGGGUGGUGGUGCAUGGCCGUUC
rnacentral:rRNA from 1 species